rnacentral:misc_RNA from 1 species
GAUGAAGAACGCAGUGAAAUGCGAUAAGUAAUGUGAAUUGCAGAUUUUCAGUGAAUCAUCGAAUCUUUGAACGCACCUUGCGCUCCUUGGUAUUCCGAGGAGCAUGCCUGUUUGAGUGUCAUUAAAUUCUCAACUCCACCGAUUUCGUGUCGUGUGCGAGCUUGGAUUUGGAGUGUGCUGGUCCUUCCCUGGGUCGGCUCCUCUUGAAAUGCAUUAGCGGGAAAACCCCUUCGUUGGCCCCUCGGCGUGAUAAUUUAAAGUUGCGUCGUGAUCGGUCUUUGAAGUCCGCUUCCAAUCGUCUUCGGACAAAUGUCAUUUUUGACCAAUUUUGACCUCAAAUCAGGUAGGACUACCCGCUGAACUUAAGCAUAUCAAUAAGCGGAGGA